CUCAGACACGACAACCUGGACUUGACCCCUGGGGUUCUGGCUCCAACAAGUCUUCCUGGCCGCUUCGGGCAGCAGGAACCUCUGUCAGCACUGGUGAUUGAUGGCUUCAUGGGGGGAGAGGCCUACAGACAAGAAGUCUCACAAACACAGGGACAGGCAGAAAUAAAAUAGAACCCGAGAACCAGCAGCUUGCUGUGAGGAGAGCUGGGGAAGGGCUUUCUCAUGGUUUGUGGCCACAAAGAGUCAUUCCUCCUCAAGGGUCAUCCCCACCCUUCCACAACCCAUGCUGUGCAUGAGGUGCUUUUCUCUUGCUCAAGCAUACAUUGGCUUUCAGGCUUUCCCAUCCUUUGUCUUAAUCACCAACAGCUGGAAACAAGGCAAACAACAGCACAUUUCUCUGUCAUAUUAUGAAGGAACCUCCAGGUACAGGGAGUGCUAUUGAAGACACAACACGCAUCUGAGGCCACAUAUUCAAGAUCAAACUCCCAGUCAUUCAGACAGUCAGUGGUGGUAUCUCCAACCAAAUACUGUGAUCAGCCUGUGAUUAAGCCAUUUCCUUGUAAGAGACACACACCCUGCAGUCCAAAUAUUAGCCGUCUCCAUUUCAGGCAAUGCCACCAUUAGCCAACUCGUUCCCAGCAUUUCUAUCUGCUGUAUUUCACGACACUUUAACAUUGAAACUACCCAUUUGUAGGACUAGUCUUUCACUUGCAUAUCCAGCACAGAAGGCAAGCCCUGAAGGUCAGCAGUGAGCUCUGAGCACUGGAAUUGGACAACAGCAAACUGCAGGCCCAAGUCAAAGUCACAGCAAUGCUGUGUCACCGCUUGGGCUCCACGUGCCAGGACAAAGGCAGAGUGACACCAAGAUUGCUUUGAGGGGCUGCCAAACUCACGUUCCUCCUCUUCAAAGUUCGUCCACUCUCAUCUCACCACCAAAGCAGAAAUGGGGGCCACAUUGUGCAAAAUGUUUCCUUCAACCAGGCUGAAGGCGAAUGCUUUGGAAAUUCCAACUUUGUCCAAGGAAUAGGGGUUACUGUAAGACAGUGACUGCGUGCACUGCAAACCCCAUCCUUACUGCCUGUGCCCCUUGCUUCACCUGGUGCUUUGUGAUGGGUUAUGCUAACAUACAUGAAAUUUAAUUUCCGCUUAUUAACCCACAGGAGGCUAUUACUGUUUUCAAAGACAUUACAUUGCUUCCAAUUAGUGCUGCCCUUUGGUUUAUGGUAUGUUGUUUUUCUUGAAAACCUUUGAACCAGGUUGUACAUGAGCUGAAGGGCAUUCUGGGGCUGUUAAUAAAGAUUAACUCUUUUGAGCAAAUACAUGCUCCGAUUCAUUUGUGAGGAUUACGUUGCUGCAAAGAAAGGGGAUUUGAGAAAACGUUACCAGACUCUUUGCUUUCCCUUCCAUUUUCUCAAUAUAUUUUUUUUUUAUGAUUUCCUUUAUCUGGUAAUCCUUCCUUCCAGCCUUGCCAAAGAUGCCCCUCUUUUAGUUUCCACAGCAGCACAGUCACAGAGAUGCCUCAAGAAGCAACAACUGCCCUGCUUCUUCCAGAGGGGGGCUUUGGGUGACUUCGUCCAACCUCUCUUGAAAACGUGUAAAGAAACAAGGAAUCUUGAGAUGCCAGGAGAAGGGAAAGGGGUACUGCUGUAACUCAGAAGCAUUUACAUACAGAUCUGUUUGACUGCCUUGUUCAAUCUUAACUCCCACUGCUCAUCUUUCUCCAUGCUACCAUGAAAUUUUAUCGCUCUAAGUUAGCUUUAGUCUUUCUGCUUGUCUGGUAUCAUUUACUCACCUCUUUACCUUCACAUUACCAAUGCACAUUACAAAUACAAAGUCAAUUAUGUCCUCAGCAUAUGUAUUUGCUGCUCUGAUUGCCUUUUAGCUUAGUGUUAUUACAUUAUACUUCUAUCAUGGUGCCAAAGGCUGUAGUCUCCCAUGUUCUUUUCUUUUGGUGUGGUUUUGUGUUUUAAUUGUGCCUUUUUUUUUGGGGGGGGGGGAAGGGCUUUGAAGGCUGGGGAGGCACGGCCUACACGGAUUUCACUACAAUUCAAGAGCACCCACACUUAGUCAACUCAAAUCCAAGAUGACAUCUACAUGCUAAGCGGAUGUGUGCCAAUAUAUACUUGGGUCAUACUUGUUCCCAGUGGAAGUGGACGCUUCAUUUUCUACCUGUUUGUAGGCUCUUGUUUAACCCACUGCCACAGGCUGGCACUUCUCCCAAAGCUGGUCCGUAAAGCAACAAACCUGCACUUAUCUGUUUUCAGUACGGCCAUAUAUCUGCAAGGACACACAGCCAGCAAUAUGGCUGCAACCUUGGUGGGUCUGCGGACAUUUAUUGUGAGAAGCAGCUGGGGAACAAUCAAAGUAAUUGCUCAGGGCCAGCGUACGUGUUUCUAAUGAGUCUCGUUGCAGAGGGACUUUUUCAGUGUCUGCAUUAUUUACACAGGACACCACUAUCAGUAAAAAGCCUUCUUAUCUCCCCUGUAUUUGUUUCUCUAUCUUUCAGUUUAGCAACUCUCAAAUUCUGUGCCUUUUUUUUUUUUAAUUUUUAUUUUUAUAGCCUGUUUCCUCUUUAGCGAUAUUAUCAUGGAGCCAAUAAAAGUGCUUUCCUUCUACAUCUGGUCAAGGAAAGAUUUUGCUGGGUACUCGAGUCAUAUUUCUGAAAAUGCCUCCGAGUGAAUAUAAAAAGCUGUUGGAAGCAAUUGAGUUUACUGUUGCCUUAUGUACUGUCAUUAAUUAGGAAAUAAAGCAAACGGC
ensembl:lncRNA